GCACAGGUGGCUCAAUGGAUUUGUGCAUUGGGCUGUUAACCAAAGGGUUGGUGGUUCAAUCCCACCUCAGGGACA